rnacentral:rRNA from 1 species
GGAUGAUGGACAGGUUGAAGGCCUUUCCGGACGAGCCGAGAGGAGGUGCAUGGCCGUCGCCGGUGCGUGCCGUGAGGUGUCCUGUUAAUUCAGGCAACGGACGAGACCCGCGCCCCUAGUUGCUAUCGGGCCGAAAGGCGCCGGGCACUCUAGGGGGACUGCCCCCGAAAGGGGGAGGAAGGAGCGGGCUACGGCAGGUCAGUAUGCCCCGAAUCCCCCGGGCCGCACGCGACGUUCAAUGGCGGGGACAGUGGGUUGCCACCCCGAAAGGGGGAGCUAAUCCCUAAACCCCGCCGUGGUUGGGAUCGAGGGUUGCAACUCGCCCUCGUGAACGCGGAAUCCCUAGUAACCGCGUGUUAAAACCGCGCGGUGAAUACGUCCCCGCUCCUUGCACACACUGCCCGUCGCUCCACCCGAGUUGGGUCUGGGCGAGGCUCAGUCUCGUUGGCUGAGUCGAGCCUGGGCCUGGCGAGGGGGGAGAAGUCGUAACAAGGUGGCCGUACGGGAACGUGCGGCCGGAUCACCUCCUACCGC